AGUGAACGCUGGCGGUAGGCCUAACACAUGCAAGUCGAACGGCAGCACAGUAAGAGCUUGCCCUUACGGGUGGCGAGUGGCGGACGGGUGAGGAAUACAUCGGAAUCUACUUUUUCGUGGGGGAUAACGUAGGGAAACUUACGCUAAUACCGCAUACGACCUACGGGUGAAAGCAGGGGAUCAUCGGACCUUGCGCGAUUGAAUGAGCCGAUGUCGGAUUAGCUAGUUGGCGAGGUAAAGGCCCACCAAGGCGACGAUCCGUAGCUGGUCUGAGAGGAUGAUCAGCCACACUGGAACUGAGACACGGUCCAGACUCCUACGGGAGGCAGCAGUGGGGAAUAUUGCACAAUGGGCGCAAGCCUGAUCCAGCCAUACCGCGUGGGUGAAGAAGGCCUUCGGGUUGUAAAGCCCUUUUGUUGGGAAAGAAAAGCAGCAGGUUAAUACCCCGCUGUUCUGACGGUACCCAAAGAAUAAGCACCGGCUAACUUCGUG
rnacentral:rRNA from 1 species